rnacentral:rRNA from 1 species
GGAUGAACGCUGGCGGCGUGCCUAAUACAUGCAAGUCGAGCGAACGGACGAGACGCUUGCUUCUCUGAUGUUAGCGGCGGACGGGUGAGUAACACGUGGAUAACCUACCUAUAAGACUGGGAUAACUUCGGGAAACCGGAGCUAAUACCGGAUGAUAUUUUGAACCGCAUGGUUCAAAAGUGAAAGACGGUCUUGCUGUCACUUAUAGAUGGAUCCGCGCUGCAUUAGCUAGUUGGUAAGGUAACGGCUUACCAAGGCAACGAUGCAUAGCCGACCUGAGAGGGUGAUCGGCCACACUGGAACUGAGACACGGUCCAGACUCCUACGGGAGGCAGCAGUAGGGAAUCUUCCGCAAUGGGCGAAAGCCUGACGGAGCAACGCCGCGUGAGUGAUGAAGGUCUUCGGAUCGUAAAACUCUGUUAUUAGGGAAGAACAUAUGUGUAAGUAACUGUGCACAUCUUGACGGUACCUAAUCAGAAAGCCACGGCUAACUACGUG